rnacentral:rRNA from 1 species
AUCGAACGCUGGCGGCAGGCCUAACACAUGCAAGUCGAACGAACCUUUCGGGGUUCGUGGCGGAUGGGUGAGGAACACGGGGGAACGUGCCUUUAUGUUCGGAAUAACUCAGGGGAACUUGUGCUAAUCCCGAAAGUGUCCUUCGUGGGGAAUAUUUAUCGCCUUUAGGAGGGCCGGCGUCUGAUUAGCUAGUUGGUUGAGGCUAUGGCUCACCAAGGCGACUGUCAGUAGCUGGUCUGCGAGGAUGGGCAGCCACUGUGGGACUGAGACACGGCCCAAACUCCUACGGGAGGCAGCAGUGCGGAAUCUUGCGCAAUGGGCGAAAGCAAGACGCAGCCAUGACGCGUAAAUGAUGAAGGUCUUAGGAUUGUAAAAUUCUUUCACCGGGGACGAUAAUGACGGUACCCGGAGAAGAAGCCCCGGCUAACUUCGUG